AAAAAAAAAAAAAAAGAAAGCAAUUACAUUGGCGUGUAAAGGAAAAAGCCAGGAUAAAAGGAAGGCAUGGGCGUGACCUAGUCAUUCAGCCAUUAUGGCGAUAGAAGGAAGAGAGAAAUGACUUGAGGAGUAAGCAGAGUUACAUGAAUAGUUUGUUAUAUUAUUAUUAUUGCUUCUGUAUUUUGUUUUUAGAAUGAGAGAGACUUGAACACAUGGGAAAAAAUAGUCAAGAUAUAUGCAUUAAACAUAUACUCAAGAGAUGAGCAAUUAAUAGGACAACUUUAAUGGAGAAGGAUAGGACACCUGACCCAUGCGAGGAGCAUCACUGGCAGCUGAGCGGCCCACAAGGAAAUUUGGGACAAAGGAAAAGCCCACCAAAGUGGGCUGCAUCUUUCAAGCGUGUCCGUGUGAAGGGACCACCAAACAGGCUUUGUAUGUUUCAGCAGUCAUGGUGCCUCAGAGCACUGUCUUGGAAGGAAGAAGGUGCAUAAAAUGGAAAUCACAUUUAUCAAGUUCUAUGCUGCUGCUAGUGCUGAACAGGAUACCUUAAAUAAAUAUGCCUUUUAACACUGACAAUCCCCAGUGCUUGUUAUAUCUACUUUAUAGAAGAAAAAAACUGAGGUUCGAGGUGGGUUCCUUCAUUCAUAUAUUUAAGUGCCUCCUAGGGACCUCAGUACUGGGGACACUAAAAUGUACAAUAAAGACCCUGUCCCUGCCUCACAAAGCUUGCAUCCUUGUAGGGGAGUGUCAAUUCAACAACCACACAAGUAAUUAAUUAAUUAUGGUAGGGAAAGUGAAAAUGCUGUGAGAACAAGUAGCAGAGGGAGCCAACCCAAUCUGGAGAUCCAAGAAGACCUCCCGGAGGAAGCGAGAUUGAAGUUGAGACCCGAGGAAUUACUCAGGAGGGGGGCAAAUGAGCACUCCCCACACCAGCACCACGGAGCCCCAACAGCAGAAGGAAGCAUGGCCUUUCAAAGAAGGGAAAACAUGCCAGGACAGGUAGAGCAGAGGCCAGAGGUGGAACUAUCAUAAGGUGAAGCUGGUGAGAUUAGUACAGCCUCAGCCACCAGCGCCAGCCUUGCAGACCAAGCAAGGAUGUUGGACUUUAUUCCAGGAAGUGGCGGAGAAACACAGCAGUCCUUCAGGAGGUCAGACUUUCUAGUAAGAAGCAAGUGAUCAAAUCGAGGUUGGAGUCUAAAGUCCAUGCUUUUUCCACUGUACCCAGCACAUUUAUGUGAUGGAAAAAAAAAAAAAAAAGUCUGCAGGUGUGAUUGAUUGAUAGGAUCUUCUAGCUCACAGAAAGAGUCUGGAGUAGAAGGAAAGCCCUGGAGUAAGAGUCAGAAAUCUUGAGUUCUAGUUCUGCCUCUGGCCAUUCCUAAUUGGGCAGCUUGGCUACGUCUUUUUACCUCCACAGACCUCAAUUUCCUUACUUCUAACAGAAAGGGUUGGACUAAAGCCAUGCAUACCCCAUAGUAAAUACUCAGUAAAUCUUAGCGGCUACUUCUAUCAGCCUCUUUGCUCUCUAAUAUUCUCUGUCAGUAUAAAUUCCGUGACUAUGAUUGUACUUUUUCAGAUUCUCACUUACCAGGCAUGGUCAUCAACCUUAGUUAUCUCUAGAGUAAGGUGGUAUAAUUAUUCUUUUGACAUAAUCCUGGAAUUCUCAAAUAACAUUUAGGAACUCUCAUCUCCAGAAGGAAUCCUGGAUUUUAUGGCUCACUUAAAUGUUCACAUAAUUGAUUUUCCCCUCUUACAGUAUUUAUCCAUAUAACCCACGGGCAGAAAUUGAAUUAUGGUUCUGAAGGGACUUACUGUUAUAAUAUUGGCAGAGUUUUCAUAGGUUAAGUGAUAAUUAAAGUUUAAAUUUCACAGAGGUCACACAGCUUUUAAGUGUGAUUCCCCCCACCACUAUAUUAUAACAAAGACAAUUUGGUUUUUGAAAUGCAAGAUAAUCUUAAACAAGAAAUUAUUUUCUACAUUAUAUGUAAAGUUGUGCUUGCUUUUAU
rnacentral:lncRNA from 10 species